CCCUUAGAUGUCCUAGGCUGCACGCGCGCUACACUGAUGUGUCCAGUAAGCACCUAACCUCUUCCGAAAGGAACGGGUAACCUUUGCAAAGCACAUCGUGAUGGGGAUAGAUUAUUGCAAUUAUUAGUCUUGAACGAGGAAUUCCUAGUAAGCACAAGUCAUCAGCUUGUGUUGAUUACGUCCCUGCCCUUUGUACACACCGCCCGUCGCUCCUACCGAUUGAAUGUUCCGGUGAGCUCUUCGGACUGCGCGGUCUGCAGUUUCUGCGUUCCGUGCGGAAAGUUGCGCAAACCUUAACAUUUAGAGGAAGGAGAAGUCGUAACA
rnacentral:rRNA from 1 species